GAUGAACGCUGGCGGCGUGCCUAAUACAUGCAAGUCGAGCGAACAGAUAAGGAGCUUGCUCCUUUGACGUUAGCGGCGGACGGGUGAGUAACACGUGGGUAACCUACCUAUAAGACUGGAAUAACUCCGGGAAACCGGGGCUAAUGCCGGAUAACAUUUAGAACCGCAUGGUUCUAAAGUGAAAGAUGGUUUUGCUAUCACUAAUAGAUGGACCCGGGCCGUAUUAGCUAGUUGGUAAGGUAACGGGUUACCAAGGCAACGAUACGUAGCCGACCGGAGAGGGUGGUAGGCCACACGGGAACGUGGACAGGGACCAGGCGACUGCGGGAGGGAGCAGUAGGGUAUCUGACGCAAUAGUGGGAAACCUUACGGAGCAACCGCGCGUGAGUGGUGGAAGUCCUCCGAGCGGAAAACCCUGUUAUUAGUGGAGAACCACUGUGUAAGGUACCGUGGACGUCUUGACGGUAACUAAUCAGAAAGCCCCGGCUAACUACGUG
rnacentral:rRNA from 1 species